rnacentral:rRNA from 1 species
UCGGACUCCGGGAGAUGAGUUUCGGGGUCGAAAGGGAAACAGCCCAGACCAUCGGCUAAGGUCCUAAAAUCUAUGCUAAGUGGGAAACGAGGUGAGGUUACUUAAACAACCAGGAGGUUGGCUUAGAAGCAGCCACCCUUUAAAAAGUGCGUAACAGCUUACUGGUCUAGUGACUUCGCGCGGAAAACUUAACGGGGCUAAGCAUAGUACCGAAGCCAUGGGUCUCAACGCAAGUUGGGGCAGUAGGGGAGCGUUCUGUCAGCGGUGAAGGUCGAUCGUAAGGGCGACUGGAGCGGACAGAAGUGAGAAUGCAGGCAUGAGUAGCGUACAAACACGUGAGAACCGUGUUCGCCGUAAGUCUAAGGUUUCCGACGCCAGGUCAUUCCGCGUCGGGUUAGUCGAGUCCUUAGCCGAGGCCGAGAGUCGU